rnacentral:rRNA from 1 species
UACGUAGGGGGCAAGCGUUGUCCGGAUUUAUUGGGCGUAAAGAGCGUGUAGGCGGUUUGGUAGGUCCGCUGUGAAAACUCGAGGCUCAACCUCGAGACGCCGGUGGAAACCAUCAGACUAGAGUCCGGAAGAGGAGAGUGGAAUUCCUGGUGUAGCGGUGAAAUGCGCAGAUAUCAGGAGGAACACCGGUGGCGAAGGCGGUGGUCUGGGCCGGCACUGACGCUGAGGAGCGAAAGCGUGGGGAGCGAACAGG